AACGAACGCUGGCGGCAUGCCUAACACAUGCAAGUCGAACGAGACCUUCGGGUCUAGUGGCGCACGGGUGCGUAACGCGUGGGAACCUGCCCUUAGGUUCGGAAUAACUCCCCGAAAGGGGUGCUAAUACCGGAUAAUGUCUUCGGACCAAAGAUUUAUCGCCUUUGGAUGGGCCCGCGUUGGAUUAGCUAGUUGGUAGGGUAAAAGCCUACCAAGGCGACGAUCCAUAGCUGGUCUGAGAGGAUGAUCAGCCACACUGGGACUGAGACACGGCCCAGACUCCUACGGGAGGCAGCAGUGGGGAAUAUUGGACAAUGGGCGAAAGCCUGAUCCAGCAAGGCCGCGUGAGUGAUGAAGGCCUUAGGGUUGUAAAGCUCUUUUACCCGGGAUGAUAAUGACAGUACCGGGAGAAUAGCUCCGGCUAACUCCGUG
rnacentral:rRNA from 1 species